UACGGGGGGGGCAAGCGUUGUUCGGAAUUACUGGGCGUAAAGCGCACGUAGGCGGCUAUUCAAGUCGGGGGUGAAAGCCCGGGGCUCAACCCCGGAACAGCCCUCGAAACUAGAUAGCUAGAAUCUUGGAGAGGCGAGUGGAAUUCCGAGUGUAGAGGUGAAAUUCGUAGAUAUUCGGAGGAACACCAGUGGCGAAGGCGACUCGCUGGACUGAUACUGACGCUGAGGUGCGAAAGCGUGGGGAGCAAACAGG
rnacentral:rRNA from 1 species